UAGAGUUUGAUCCUGGCUCAGAAUCAACGCUGGCGGCGCGCUUAACACAUGCAAGUCGCACGAGAAAGUGGGCAACCAUGAGUACAGUGGCGAACGGGUGAGUAACACGUGGGUAAUCUACCUCUGAGUGAGGAAUAACCCUGGGAAACCGGGGCUAAUACCGCAUAAGCUCGAGAGAGGAAAGCAGCAAUGCGCUGAGAGAGGAGCCCGCGGCCGAUUAGCUAGUUGGUAGGGUAAAAGCCUACCAAGGCAGAGAUCGGUAGCCGGCCUGAGAGGGCACACGGCCACACUGGCACUGAAACACGGGCCAGACUCCUACGGGAGGCAGCAGUGGGGAAUCUUGCACAAUGGGGGAAACCCUGAUGCAGCGACGCCGCGUGAGCGAUGAAGCCCUUCGGGGUGUAAAGCUCUUUCGUCAGGGAAGAUAAUGACGGUACCUGGAGAAGCAGCUGCGGCUAACUACGUGCCAGCAGCCGCGGUAAUACGUAGGCAGCGAGCGUUGUUCGGAGUUACUGGGCGUAAAGGGUGUGUAGGCGGUUCUUUAAGUUUGGUGUGAAAUCUCCCGGCUCAACCGGGAGGGUGCGCCGAAUUACUGAGGACUCAAAUGCGGGAGAAGGAANGGGAAUUCCUGGUGUAACGGGAAAUGCGCUAAAAUCAGGGAGGAACCCGGGGGUGUAAACGGUUUUUUGGACCUUAACUUGACGCUGGAACCGAAGGCGGGGGAACAAAAGCGGAUUAUUACCUUGGCGGUCCACGCCCUGACCGUCGUUUUUUGGGGGGGGGCUUACAUUCAUCGCCGGCGGAGAAUGGCGUGGCAUAGGGCGGGGGGGGAGNCGCCGCGGCGUCAAGCCCCACG
rnacentral:rRNA from 1 species